rnacentral:rRNA from 1 species
UACGAAGGGGGCUAGCGUUGUUCGGAAUCACUGGGCGUAAAGGGCGCGUAGGCGGCCUGAUAAGUCGGGGGUGAAAGCCUGUGGCUCAACCACAGAAUUGCCUUCGAUACUGUUAGGCUUGAGACCGGAAGAGGUAAGUGGAACUGCGAGUGUAGAGGUGAAAUUCGUAGAUAUUCGCAAGAACACCAGUGGCGAAGGCGGCUGUCUGGUCCGGUUCUGACGCUGAGGCGCGAAAGCGUGGGGAGCAGACAGG